ensembl:miRNA gmo-mir-19b-1 gmo-mir-19b-1
AGUUUUGCUGGUUUGCUUUCAGCUUUUGAAAACACACGCUGUGCAAAUCCAUGCAAAACUGA